CCUACGGGAGGCAGCAGUGGGGGAUAUUGCACAAUGGGGGAAAGCCUGAUGCAGCGACGCCGCGUGGGUGAAGAAGGCUUUCGGGAUGUAAAGCCCUAUCAGCAGGGAAGAAAGAAGACGGUACCUGACUAAGAAGCCCCGGCUAACUACGUGCCAGCAGCCGCGGUAAGACGGAGGGGGCGAGCGUUAUCCGGAUUCACGGGGUGUAAAGGGAGCGUAGACGGCCGGGCAAGCCAGGAGUGAAAGCCCGGGGCUCAACCCCGGGACUGCUUUUGGAACUGUGCGGCUGGAGUGCGGGAGGGGCAGGCGGAAUGCCUGGUGUAGCGGUGAAAUGCGUAGAUAUCAGGAGGAACACCGGCGGCGAAGGCGGCCUGCUGGACCGCGACUGACGUUGAGGCUCGAAAGCGUGGGGAGCGAACAGGAUUAGAUACCCCAGUAGUC
rnacentral:rRNA from 1 species